AGUCCACAGGCUCACCCCCACCCUUUCUCAGAGAGCUGGUUUCAUAUGGCUGGAUUCUUUUGUCACAGUCUGCAUUUCAUCCUAGGAUUGUCCUGAUUCCCUAAAUGAAUUGUAUUUUUUUGAGACAGGGUCUGGCAGCCUCGAACCCCUGGAGGCUUAGGUGAUCCUCCCACCUCAGCCCCCAAGUAGCUGGGACCACAGGCUCAGCUAAUUUUUACUUUUUUUUGCAGAUAUCAACCUCUCUAUGUUUCCUAGGCUGGUCUCAAACUCCUGGACUCAAGCAAUCCUCCUGCCUUAGCCUCCACAAGUGCUGGGAUUACAGGCAUGAGCAACUGCAUCCGGCUAAACAACCUCUCUUCUUGCAACACUGUUUCCUUGUACCGUUAUCGAUGCUGGGAGAAGAGAAAAGGACAUCAUUUUGCCCUCAGGGAGCUCAUGGUCUAACGGAGAGAGAGACAUGUGAACAACUACAACGUCUGCGGUCUAAGAAAACACUAAAUUGGAGACGUGUUCAAAGCAGUGCAGGGGAGGGAGCGGAGUGAGACUUCCGGGGUCACCCAGAAGGGCUUCCCGGCAGGGAACGCUACACUUCCUUAGAAAUUAAGAGUGUGUGCUACACUGCUUUACCAGAGCAAGGCCAAAAGCAGCUUCAAUUAUGGUACAACUGUGUGAAGACACAAUGCAAAACCACUCAAGAAUGCUCACUCAAAUGGAUUUUUACCAUGGAACUCGGA
rnacentral:lncRNA from 1 species